CCUACGGGCGGCAGCAGUGGGGAAUAUUGCACAAUGGGGGAAACCCUGAUGCAGCGACGCCGCGUGAGUGAAGAAGUCCUUCGUUAUGUAAAGCUCUGUCAGCAGGGAAGAAAAUGACGGUACCUGAGUACGCAGCCCCGGCUAACUCCGUGCCAGCAGCCGCGGUAAUACGUAGGGGGCAAGCGUUAUCCGGAUUUACUGGGUGUAACGGGAGCGUAGACGGCAGUGCAAGUCUGGAGUGAAAGGCGGGGGCUCAACCCCCGGACUGCUCUGGAAACUGUACGGCUGGAGUGCAGGAGAGGCAAGUGGAAUUCCUAGUGUAGCGGUGAAAUGCGUAGAUAUUAGGAGGAACACCAGUGGCGAAGGCGGCCUACUGGACUGUAACUGACGUUGAGGCUCGAAAGCGUGGGGAGCAAACAGGAUUAGAUACCCCAGUAGUC
rnacentral:rRNA from 1 species